rnacentral:misc_RNA from 1 species
GUGAGUCAUCGAAUCUUUGAACGCACAUUGCGCCCGCCAGUAUUCUGGCGGGCAUGCCUGUUCGAGCGUCAUUUCAACCCUCAAGCCCCCCCGGGGGCUCGGUGUUGGGGACCGGCCCCGCGUCCAGCGGGUCGCCGCCCCCGAAAUGCAGUGGCGACAACGCCGCAGCCUCCUCUGCGUAGUAGCACUUGAAACCUCGCACCGGAGAGCGGCGCUGCCAGCCGUAAAACCCCAACUUCUGAAAGGUUGACCUCGGAUCAGGUAGGAAUACCCGCUGAACUUAAGCAUAUCAAUAAGCGGAGGA